rnacentral:rRNA from 1 species
UAGACGAAAGUUACGCUAAUACCGCAUACGAUCCACGGAUGAAAGCAGGGGACCUUCGGGCCUUGUGCUAUACGAGCGGCCGAUGUCUGAUUAGCUAGUUGGUGAGGUAAAGGCUCACCAAGGCGACGAUCAGUAGCGGGUCUGAGAGGAUGAUCCGCCACACUGGGACUGAGACACGGCCCAGACUCCUACGGGAGGCAGCAGUGGGGAAUUUUGGACAAUGGGCGCAAGCCUGAUCCAGCCAUGCCGCGUGUCUGAAGAAGGCCUUCGGGUUGUAAAGGACUUUUGUCAGGGAGCAAAACUUACUGGUUAAUACCUGGUGAGGUUGAGAGUACCUGAAGAAUAAGCACCGGCUAACUACGUGCCAGCAGCCGCGGUAAUACGUAGGGUGCAAGCGUUAAUCGGAAUUACUGGGCGUA